UGGUAACUCUGCCGCCGGAAGAUUGUCUACCCUUUGGUUCAAGCAAAAAGCAAUCAACAAUUGGACGGGAGAAUAAUGACAUUGAAGCAGAUUUCCAGCAACAAGUGCUUUGGGGGAUUGCAGAAAGGUUUUGAACAUGUCAGUGUUGAACUGAACUGCAAAAUGAAAUUUGCUGUCUACUUACCACCAAAGGCAGAAACUGGAAAGUGCCCUGCACUGUAUUGGCUCUCAUGUUUAAUUUGCACAGAACAGAGUUUUAUAUCAAAAUCUGGUUAUCAUCAAGCUGCUUCAGAACAUGGUCUUUUUGUCAUUGCUCCAGACACCAGCCCUCAUGGCUGCAAUGCUAAAGGAGAAGAUGAGAGCUGGGACUUUGGCACUGGUGCUGGAUUUUAUGCUGAUGCCACAGAAGAUCCUUGAAAAACCAACUACAGAAUGUAUUCUUACAUCACAGAGGAGCUUCCCCAACUCAUAAAUGCCAAUUUUCCAGUGGAUCCCCAAAGGACAUCUAUUUUUGGUCACUCCAUGGGAGGCCAUGGAGCUCUGAUCUGUGCUUUGAAAAAUCCUGGAAAAUACAAAUCUGUGUCAGCAUUUGCUCCAAUUUGCAACCCUGUACUCUGUCCCUGGGGCAAAAAAGCCUUUAGUUGAUAUUUGGGAAAAGAUCAAAGUAAAUGGAAGGCAUAUAAUGCUACCCAUCUUGUGAAAUCCUAUCCAGGUUCUCAGCUGGGCAUACUAACUGAUCAAGGAAAAGAUGACCAGUUCCUUUUAGAUGAGCAGUUACUCCCUGAUAACUUCAUAGCUGCUUGUACAGAAAGGAAAAUCCCAGUUGUUUUUCGAUUACAAGAGGGUUAUGAACAUAGCUACUACUUCAUUGCAACCUUUAUUACUGAUCACAUCAGACAUCAUGCCAAAUACCUGAAUGCAUGAAAAACUCCAAAUAAGAGAAUCUCUUUAGGAUU